rnacentral:rRNA from 1 species
AUGAACGCUGGCGGCGUGCCUAAUACAUGCAAGUCGAGCGAACAGAUGAGGAGCUUGCUCCUCUGACGUUAGCGGCGGACGGGUGAGUAACACGUGGAUAACCUACCUAUAAGACUGGGAUAACUUCGGGAAACCGGAGCUAAUACCGGAUAAUAUAUUGAACCGCAUGGUUCAAUAGGGAAAGACGGUUUUGCUGUCACUUAUAGAUGGAUCCGCGCCGCAUUAGCUAGUUGGUAAGGUAACGGCUUACCAAGGCAACGAUGCGUAGCCGACCUGAGAGGGUGAUCGGCCACACUGGAACUGAGACACGGUCCAGACUCCUACGGGAGGCAGCAGUAGGGAAUCUUCCGCAAAGGGCGAAAGCCUGACGGAGCAACGCCGCGUGAGUGAUGAAGGUCUUCGGAUCGUAAAACUCUGUUAUUAGGGAAGAACAAAUGUGUAAGUAACUAUGCACGUCUUGACGGUACCUAAUCAGAAAGCCACGGCUAACUACGUG